rnacentral:lncRNA from 1 species
AUGGCCCGCUGGCUUUGUGGAUGCGUGAGCCAUCGAGGUCACCCCCGUUUCCUCCGCCCCUUGUACUUCGGCAUGCUGUGUGGACGGGGGAGAGAGGUGAGGGCCGUGGGUACCACGCACGCCAAGGGCAUGCCCAGAGGACCCAGGAGGCAUCUGAGGCCCUCUGGGGUCUGGAAGCUCAGCGCUGGCUGGAACCUUCGGUCCGCACCGGCUCCCCGCUCUCACUCGGCACAUGUGUGCUGGACAACAAAUGGGUACGUUUUCCCGUUUUCUGCGUCUGUCUUGGCGAGGGCAGGCUCGCGGCUCCCUGAAGAGCCCACGCUGGAGAAAUGUCUCGCCUGCGACCUGAGAGGUUUUAGCCCUCACCCCUUGCUGGCCUGUCCCCCAGGAGAGGACAGUGGAGCCCACGGGCUGAAAAGGGACCAGCUCUGGAGCGCCCACUCCCCAGGGGCCAGGCGACCUCGGGUGAGCUUCAGCUCCCAUCGCCCCCAGAAGCAGGGAUGCCUUGCUUACCCUGCCGGGGAGGCCCAAUGGGCCGAUGCGGUAACAGCACCUCCGCCGUGGGAGACCACCCCUCCGGGCCCCAGAGCAGCAGGGGACCCUCCGUCCCACCAGCAAACAGUGGCCUCGUGACGCUGUCACCCUCACGUCGGACCUUACAAGCCUGGGAGUAAAGGCUUUACACCUGUGAUCUCGUCCUCGUGCUCGGGGCGUCUCGGCCACGGCCCCGCACAGACUGGAAGACGGGGGAUGGAAGAGCAUGGGUGUAGCCGGAGGGGCACACCGAGAGACUUCCUAGUCCUGCGUGCUGUCCACAGGCCCCUUGGCCCUGCUUUCUGAUGGGACCACAAGGACCUCCCUGGGGACCAGCCAAGCCCAUGGGAACCUGACGGGUGGGCUCACGGCCCCAACCGUGCAGUGGUGCCCCACCCCAACCCCCCAGUCGCUGCCCCGGGCAGUGCCCACCAAGCCUGGUGCAUGACCGAUCACGCAGGCAGCACCUGGUGAUCAGAAAAGGAGCCCGGAGGAGAGGAGGCAAAGGGAACCGAAGACCCACCACCGGCUCGCACUCGCCUUCCAGACACUUCCACGCGCUGCUUUGCGUAUCAUGCCUCCCGGGCCUCCCAGACGCCUCUAAGACAAGCUCUCCGAUUGCCCUUGUUGCCUUUGCUUGGUUUGUGGAUAAGGAGAUUCUCGAGCCAUUUUACCGUCGUAAUUAUUCCUGAUUUCUGACUGGCACUGAAUUCAGCCAAUGCUUCGAAACGUGCCUUGGUCACGGUAUGACCCAGUGUGGGGUCAGUGGUCCUGGCUACCCGUGUUUGCAGGUCACAUUCUGGAGAGACCAUCAGACCCGGCUGGUUGGGGGUGCUGCUUGAACCUCCUACAUCCUUACUGAGUAAGAGAGAGAGAGAAACCCAGAGAGAGGUGAGAAAUCUCACCUUCUUAAAAGGCCAGCCCAUAAAACAAGGGAUGCUAGAACAAACAGACAGCCACAGGGGAAAAAAAAAUCUCAAGCCUUACCUUACACCCUAUCCCCCAAAAUUAACUCAAAAAACCAGAAAGCUUCUAGAGAAAUCAUAAGAGAACGUGUUUGUGACCUUGGAUAAGGCAGAGAUUUCUUAGUUAAGACACCAAACACGUGAUCUAGCCCCCGAAAAAUCAAUAAGCUAGACUUCAUCAAAAUUUAAAACCGGAGUUCCUGUCAUGGCGCAGCGGAAACGAAUCCAACUAAGAACCACGAGGUUAUAGGUUCGAUCCCUGGCCUCGAUCAGUGGGUUAAGGAUCCAGCAUUGCCGUGAGCUGUGGUGAAGCUCGCAGACGUGGCUCAGAUCUGGCGUUGCUGUGGCUGUGGUGUAGGCCGGUGGCUACAGCUCUGAUUCGACUCCUAGCCUAGGAAACUCCAUGUGCCACACAUGAGCCUCUAAAAAAGACGAAAGACCAAAAAAAAAAAAAAUUUAAAACCUUUCGAGUUCCCGUUGUGGUUCAGUGGUAACAAACCCAACUCAUAUCUAUAAGGACAUGGGUUUGAUCCCUGGCCUCGCUCAGUGGGUUAAUAAGGAUCGGGUGUUGCCGUGAGCUGUGGUGUAGGUCACAGAUAUGGCUCAGAUCUGGUGUUUUGCAUGCAGCUGUAAAAAGAAAAAAGAAAAGAAAAAAUAAAAGACAAGAAACAGACUGGGAGGAAAUAUUUGCUGAACAUAUGUACAUAGUAAAGGAUUUGUGUCCAGAACAUACAAAUAUAAAUAAACGUGGCAUUCAAAACUCAAUGCUGAGAACACAGAUGACUCAAGAAAAAAUGGCCCGAAGCUUCCAUAGACCCUUCACCAAAGAUUUACGAAUGGCCUAUAAUCUCUUGAAAAGAUGCUCAACCCCAUUAGUCACCAGGAAAAUGCAAAUCAAACCGCAAGAUACCCCUUCACGCCCACCCACUAGGAGGGCUGUGAUCAAAAUGGCAACAUUUCAAUGUAAAGCCAGCAUCAUCUGGUUUCUCAAAAAGGUAAAUCUAGGGAGGCUGAAACAGGUGAGUGGCUGCCUAGGACUCAGGGCAGAGAAGCGGGACUCGGGCAGAGAAGCAGGACUUGGCUGCACGUGGGCACAGAAGUACGGGGGUGGGGGGCUGAUGGAAGCAUUGGAAAACUAAAGUGUAGGCAUUCCUGUCAUGGCUCAGCAGUAACCAACCCAGCUAGUAUCCAUGAGGAUGUGGGGGUUUUUUGUUGGGGUUUUUUGGGGUUUUUUUUUUGUCUUUUUGCCUUUUCUAGGGCCGCUCCCGCGGCAUAUGGAAGUUCCCAGGCUAGGGGUCUAAUCGGAGCUGUAGCCACCAGCCUACACCACAGCCACAGCAACUCGGGAUCCGAGCCGCAUCUGCAACCUACACCACAGCUCACGGCAACACCGGAUCCUUAACCCACUGAGCAAGGGCAGGGAUUGAACCCGCAACCUCAUGGUUCCUAGUCGGAUUCGUUAACCACUGCGCCACAACGGGAACUCCAUGAGGACGUGGUUUUUUUUUGUUGUUGUUUUUUGUUUUUUGUUUUUUGAGGACGUGGUUUUGAUCAGAGGCGGCUCAGAUCCCUCAUUGCUGUGGCUGUGGUGUAGGCUGGCAGCUACAGCUCUGAUUCGACCCCCAGCCUAGGAACUUCCAUAUGCCGCGGGUGUGGCCCCAAAAAGACCCAAAAAAACAAAAAACCUAGAUUGUAGCAAGAGUCACAUAACAGUCCAAAUCUACUAAACCUCUUUCAGUUUAACACGGGGUGGGGGUGGGGGUGGAGACUUAACGGUGUGUAAAUUACACGUCUACACCUGUUUUUCAAAAAAAAUCUCCCACUCCAAUAGUGGAUUUGUUUUUCUCCUUGUAGUUCUGCCAAAUUGUGCUUUAGGUAUCAUGAGAGUUUUUGUACAUUCAAAGGUACAUUGAAAGGAAGAAGAGUUACAUCUUGGCAAAAAAUCCAUUUUUUAUUAUCAAGCACUAAGGAGCUACUCUAUCUAGCAGUUCUUGACCUAAAGGGUGUUCCUCCGGUGUUAAGUCCUUCCAAGGCUCUCUGGCUUUGUAUUUGCAUAAAUACUUCCUUUUCUACCUUUUUGUAUCAUUAGUUUUCAAUAUGUUUCUUUUUUUGUUUUGUUUUGUUUUUGUCUUUUUACUAUUUCUUUGGGCCGCUCCCGCGGCAUAUGGAGGUUCCCAGGCUAGGGGUCUAAUCAGAGCUGUAGCCACCGGCCUACACCAGAGCCACAGCAACGCGGGAUCCGAGCUGUGUCUGUGACCUACACCACAGCUCACGGCAACGCCGGAUCAUUAACCCACUGAGCAAGAGCAGGGACCGAACUCGCAACCUCAUGGUUCCUAGUCGGAUUCGUUAACCACUGCGCCACGACGGGAACUCCUCAUUAUGUUUCUUACAAACAUCAGUUGGACUUUGUCCUUUCACCUGGCCUGGAACUGCUGUCCUUUUAACUGUAACUCUCAACUAUUCUAUUAGUUUCUACGUAUCUAACGGCCAACAGGGUUGGACUAAUUUCUACCACCUGACUUUGUCUUUUUGUGUGUUUGUCUUAUUUUGUCUUUUUUGUUUUCUCUCUUUUCUUGCCUUCUUUUGGAUCCUUGAGUUUUUUCGUUGUAAUUUCCUUUCCACUGGAGGAGAAUGGAUGCGCUCUAGUUCCAUUCUUUUAGCAGUUGCUUAGCAAAGUCGAUGCUAAGUUAAUGCUUCUUCUUGGCCAUCGCAAGGUGUUUAGAAUCUUUUCAUUCCCUUACCUGCCCCCCAACUUUAAGGCCAGCGUUCCCUUGUGUUUUGGGCACUGUCUUCAUUUAAACCCUACGCGGUGUUUUAUUAUCCAUAUUUUUUGCCAACUGCCCACACCUGUGACAGUGUCUGGCUUCCAUCCUUUCCAAUAGUCCUAUUGUCCAUCGGAGGUUACUUUCCUUUGGCCUCAAACGUGUCCCGCAGCACUUCCUCAAGUGCAAAUUGUGGGGCAUCAUCUUGAUUUUUGAUUGCCUAUCAUCAUUUUCAUUUUGCCCAUUUUCACUGGCUAUUUGAUAGUUUAAUUUUCGUUUUACAGCGGAGUAGAGCUGAUUUAGUGUUAUUUUCCACUGUACCGCGCAGAGAUUCAAUUAUAUGUAUAUACAUGUAUCCAUUCUUUUUCAGAUCCCUUUCCCAUAGAGGUUAUUACAGAAUAUUGAGUAGUUUCCUGUGCUAUUCAGUAGGUUUUUGGUUUUUAUCUAUUUUAUUUAUAGUAGGGUGGAGAUGUUAAUCCCAAAUUCCUAAUUUACACCCUCCCCCAUGUUUUCCCUUUGGUAACCAUAAAUUUGUUUUCAAGGUCUAGGAACCUGCUUCUGAUUUGUAAAUAAGUUCGUUUUGUAUCUUUUUUUUUUAGAUUCCACAUAUAAGUGAUAUCAUAUAUUUUGUCUUUCUCUGUUGGACUUAGGCCCAUCCAUGUUGCUGCAAAUGGCAUUCUUUCGUUCUUUUUGAUGGCUAAGUAAUAUUCCAUUGUAUGUAUGUACUGCAUCUUCUUUAUCCAUUCCUCUGUCAAAAGACAUUUAAUGUGCUUCUAUGUCUGGGCUCUUGUGAAUAGUGCUGCAAAGAACAUUGGGGUGCGUGUAUCUUUUUGAAUUGUGGUUUUCUUGGAAUAGAUGCCCAGGAGUGGGAUUGCUCGAUCAUAUGAUAGUUCUAUCUUUAGUUAUUAGAGGACUCUCCCUACUGUUUUCCGUAAUGGUUGUACCAAUUUGCAUUCCCACCAACAAUGUAGGAGGGCCCCCUUUCCUCCGCACUCACUCCAGCAUUUAUUAUUUGUAGACUUCUUGCUGAUAUCCAUUCUGACCGCUGUGGCGUGGUACCUCAUUAUAGUUUUGAUUCCUUUUCAGUGC